AUAGAAGAAUGGAAUGCGGAAGUCACGUGGUUUAUGGAGCUGCAAAUAGUUCCAAACACCAGCAGCUCCAGCAUUGAACGUAGUUCAUUCUCGGUGCUUCGUAAGGAUUUUGUACGGUAAACCACACGAAAAUGGCUUAAGUGAACUGCUGAACCAUGUUGCAUACAAAGCACCACAAAGAGUAUCCAUGGCAUUUGGGAGCUCCAUGACAGAUUGACUGGACCUUGUUCUGAAAAGUCUUUCAACUUUCUGGACCAGACUGAAGGCUUCAUGUGAUGGCCGACACAGCACCCCUGGUUUGAAUUCCAUCAGUAUCAAUAGGCUCCUGUGUGACCAGGCAGCAUCACAUCCCCGAACAGCUUCCCUGUUCCUAGGUGCAGCUCCACACUAGGGGUGAUUGCCAUUUCAUCUAAAGAUCUUUUGGGAAGCCAUACAUACGGAUUCCUUUCUCUGACCGAUUGGUGCAUCCAAAUGCAGCACACCCAGCCAUGCAGAUGUGGUGACUGACUUCAAAAGGAGCUGCUGCCAAGGAGGAUGAACCCUCAUUCGAACUUGGGCACAUUUCUACCUUGUCCAGAUUUGAUCAGAUACAGUUUAUUGGUGCAGAUGUAAUUAAUAAACUGUAUAAAUGGUAGUGCAAGUACUCAUUUAUUAAAGCUAGUUUUGCAUUUUACAUAUCUUACAA